GCCUUCGUGGUGUAGUGGUCAGCACGCUCGGCGCGUAUUCGAGAGGUCGGUGGUUCGAAUCACGGCGAGGGCA
rfam:Stegodyphus mimosarum contig50590, whole genome shotgun sequence.